CCAUCGAACGUGAAGGAGAGUAGUGACGUGGGUGUUUACAAAGGUGAGUAUAAUAAAACAAAACACGGUUCCCAUGUGAUAAAAUCGUAUUUGUUGAGCUAUACUGUAGAGUAAACUGUUGAUUUGUUAAGGUGUAAAGACGCUAGCCAGUAACAUAACUGUAUUUGUAAAAAAAAAAAUACAACAACAACAAAACAUGUUUUAUUAUGUAAAGCGAACAGCGGAUCUCCAGUAAGCACAUGUACGUCUCCAAAGUGGAUUUGCAUGAACCAUAUACAUCUUAAAGACGAUUAAAUGUCGGUUUAAUAUGAGACAGAGAAAUGUUCUAAGAGCAUUGCAAAAGAGCAAAUCACAUGAACGUACAUCUGAGUGAGAGAUGUGUGUGUUAUUAUGUAGAAUCCACUGUCUACAUUGCUUUAGAUGAAUGUAAGUAAUGUAAAUAAAUCUACAUUAAGUACACAGAAGUUAUCUAUUUAAUUUGACCAUAAGUAUUGUUGAUAAAUUGUGGAGCUCUUGUGUUGGGUAAAAAGUAAGUGAACACAUCAGCAUCUAGCUCAACAUGUAAAUGCAGUAUAUCACAGAUAAAUCACAGAGGAUACUGACUCUUGUCUGGAUGUUACAGGGACAGAUGAGACACACGUGUGUUUAUCUGCUGCAUAGACACUGAUGAAGGAAUGAUGCAAUCAAAGACUCUCGAUCUUUUGUGGUUGAGCAGGUGACAGCAGCAUCUGUGGAAAAAACCUGAAACCAAAAUAUAAUGAUCUGAAGUGUCUGCAGACUGCUGUGUGCACUGAGGAUGGAGAAGAUGGAGUGCCAUGGAUGAAAUGCCCCAUCACUGCAUCUCCUCUUGUUUUCUCAUCAGGACCAGAUGUUGCUGUGGUCUCUUCAUCU